CAACCCACAGCAACCUCUGCCUCUACUGCCGCCCACAGCCUCUGUUUUCUGCCAUUAACAACCCCGUCCACGGCCAGGGCCAAAAACCAGUCCAAUUUGACUGGUUUCUCUAAUCCUUCGUGAUUUCUGGAACCACUCGAUGUUUCCGAAUCAUCUACAAUUGAAGAAAUUGAUCUUCCGGACAUUUGAAGGCUGUUUUCUGGAAUAUGUGAUGCUGUUUCUUGUGAUUUGUAAAGCUGGACUUGUGAAGCUGUACUUUUUCUUGUGAUUUCUGAAGGGGUUGUACUUUUUCUUGUCAGGUGUUUGAAGUUGGACAAUUUUUAAGCUAUGUAGCAGUGUUUUACAUGGUUAUUUGGUUGUAGUUUGUGCGUUUAUUUGGCUGGACAAAACCUGUUAUGGUAUAUUGGCUCUUAUGAAUGUUGUCUCAUAUGGAAUUAGAUUGUAGUUUGUGUAUUUGUUGACUGCAGCCCCUGGAGUUUGUGUUGUAUGGAUCAUGGAUGUUAUGGUCUUAUUUGUCUUGGAUGAAAUGUGGUUAGAGUUUGUGUAUUGUUGAAUGUGAAUGGCAUUGGUUGCCAAUCCUAAUAUUUUUUGUUGA